GGGGAUUAGCUCAGUGGUAGAGCGCUUGCCUAGGAAGCGCAAGGCCCUGGGUUCGAUCCCCAGCUCCG
rnacentral:tRNA from 1 species